UAGGGAAUAUUGCUCAAUGGGCGAAAGCCUGAAGCAGCAACGCCGCGUGUGUGAUGAAGGCCUUCGGGUCGUAAAGUACUUUUCUGGGAGAUGAGAAAGGACAGUAUCCCAGGAAUAAGUCUCGGCUAACUACGUGCCAGCAGCCGCGGUAAAACGUAGGAGGCGAGCGUUAUCCGGAUUCACUGGGCGUAAAGCGCGUGCAGGUGGCGCGGUAAGUUGGGCGUGAAAUCUCCCGGCUCAACUGGGAGAGGUCGUCCAAUACUACCGUGCUUGAGAGCAGAAGAGGAAGAUGGAAUUCCCGGUGUAGUGGUGAAAUGCGUAGAUAUCGGGAGGAACACCAGUGGCGGAAGGCGAUCUUCUGGUCUGUUUCUGACACUCAGACGCGACAGCUAGGGUAGUAAACGGGAUUAGACGACCCCGGUAAUCCUAGCCGUAAACGAUGUGAACUUGGCGUUGGUGGGUUAAACUCCAUCAGUGCCGCAGCAAACGCGAUAAGUUCC
rnacentral:rRNA from 1 species